rnacentral:rRNA from 1 species
AUUCUGGCUCAGGAUGAACGCUGGCGGCGUGCUUAACACAUGCAAGUCGAACGGGAUCCCAGGAGCUUGCUCCUGGGUGAGAGUGGCGAACGGGUGAGUAAUGCGUGACCGACCUGCCCCAUACACCGGAAUAGCUCCUGGAAACGGGUGGUAAUGCCGGAUGCUCCAGUUGACCGCAUGGUCCUCUGGGAAAGAUUCAUCGGUAUGGGAUGGGGUCGCGUCCUAUCAGCUUGAUGGCGGGGUAACGGCCCACCAUGGCUUCGACGGGUAGCCGGCCUGAGAGGGCGACCGGCCACAUUGGGACUGAGAUACGGCCCAGACUCCUACGGGAGGCAGCAGUGGGGAAUAUUGCACAAUGGGCGCAAGCCUGAUGCAGCGACGCCGCGUGCGGGAUGACGGCCUUCGGGUUGUAAACCGCUUUUGACUGGGAGCAAGCCCUUCGGGGUGAGUGUACCUUUCGAAUAAGCACCGGCUAACUACGUGCCAGCAGCCGCGGUAAUACGUAGGGUGCAAGCGUUAUCCGGAAUUAUUGGGCGUAAAGGGCUCGUAGGCGGUUCGUCGCGUCCGGUGUGAAAGUCCAUCGCUUAACGGUGGAUCCGCGCCGGGUACGGGCGGGCUUGAGUGCGGUAGGGGAGACUGGAAUUCCCGGUGUAACGGUGGAAUGUGUAGAUAUCGGGAAGAACACCAAUGGCGAAGGCAGGUCUCUGGGCCGUCACUGACGCUGAGGAGCGAAAGCGUGGGGAGCGAACAGGAUUAGAUACCCUGGUAGUCCACGCCGUAAACGGUGGAUGCUGGAUGUGGGGACCAUUCCACGGUCUCCGUGUCGGAGCCAACGCGUUAAGCAUCCCGCCUGGGGAGUACGGCCGCAAGGCUAAAACUCAAAGAAAUUGACGGGGGCCCGCACAAGCGGCGGAGCAUGCGGAUUAAUUCGAUGCAACGCGAAGAACCUUACCUGGGCUUGACAUGUUCCCGACAGCCGUAGAGAUACGGUCUCCCUUCGGGGCGGGUUCACAGGUGGUGCAUGGUCGUCGUCAGCUCGUGUCGUGAGAUGUUGGGUUAAGUCCCGCAACGAGCGCAACCCU